AGCAAAAGGGACGAAAAGGCAACCGCUAAAGAGAGCAGUAAUGUCCCCUCUCAGAUAUAUGACUUGUAUUCUUUUCAACAAAUAAACAUGCGUCGUUGUACAUUAUCGAGUUAUAAAACGUUAGGAGUAAGUCAAAAGGGUUUAUGUGAGUUCUGAGCCGAGUUUUGGAGUUUCAAGGUGCCAUUAUUUAGCUUACUUUCCCAGGUGCCGUUGCAGAUAUGAUAUUCUUCGACUUAUGAGGUAGAUGGAGGGCUUCAGUCCUUUGAGUGCUUGGUCUGCUUGGUCUGCCUCUGGAACUCUACAACUUGCUUGUUUACUUGUUGAAUAUCAUUUGUGUAACAUAUAAUAGCUUAAUGUUAAUUACUCUCAGAUAGUCAAGCCGAAA